rnacentral:rRNA from 1 species
AGCGAACGCUGGCGGCAGGCCUAACACAUGCAAGUCGAACGAACCCUUCGGGGUUAGUGGCGGACGGGUGAGUAACACGUGGGAACGUGCCUUUAGGUUCGGAAUAACUCAGGGAAACUUGUGCUAAUACCGAAUGUGCCCUUCGGGGGAAAGAUUUAUCGCCCUUAGAGCGGCCCGCGUCUGAUUAGCUAGUUGGUGGGGUAAUGGCCCACCAAGGCUACGAUCAGUAGCUGGUCUGAGAGGAUGACCAGCCACAUUGGGACUGAGACACGGCCCAAACUCCUACGGGAGGCAGCAGUGGGGAAUCUUGCGCAAUGGGCGAAAGCCUGACGCAGCCAUGCCGCGUGGAUGAUGAAGGUCUUAGGAUUGUAAAAUCCUUUCACCGGUGAAGAUAAUGACUGUAGCCGGAGAAGAAGCCCCGGCUAACUUCGUGCCAGCAGCCGCGGUAACAC